rnacentral:antisense_RNA from 1 species
AUUCUGAAUAUAACUAACUUCCUUCCUUCCUUCCUUUCUUCCUUCCUUCCAUCCUUCCUCCCUCCCUCCCUCCCUGCUUUCCCUUCCUCCCUGCCUUCCUUCUUCCUUCCUCUCUUUUUUCUUUUCUCCCUUCCUUCCUUCUUAAUAUGUUUUUGGCCUUUUCUUUAUAUAUGUGGCCUAUCAAUAUCAUGUGUUUGGAAAAGCAUAAACUUAAGGCAUCACCUUUACAGAAAAUAUCUUCCAUGGAAACAUCUAAAGUGAGGAAGUAAAGUUGCAUUCAUAGGCCUUGAACUUUUCCACAUCUCGAUUUUUACCCAUCAUCUCUGCAUAUUUUCCUAAGGCAGCCUUCAAAUGGUGAUGUUUCCUGUCAUCCAGAGUUCAGAAGUGCCUUCUCUUCAACCUUUCUGUGGAAUUCUAAACCACGUGAUAAAGGAGCUGGUGGCUGGAGUGCAGUGGUGUGAUCUCAGCUCACUGCAACCCCUGCCUCCUGGAUUCAAGCAAUUCUCCUGCCUCAGCCUCCCAAGUAGCUGGGAUUGCAGUACCUGUCUCCUCCCAUAGUUAGUUGCCAAGCACUGUGGAUUCUACCCCUCAGGGUCCAGACACCCAUUUUCCUUCCCACUGUUCCCUCCCCAUGGAGAAGCCUGUGGCUGACUGACAGCUCAACUUGGAGAAGGUGUUACCUGGGCCAGGUGGGGAAGGUAGGGUUGUUUGCAGAGCAAAGAAGUGAAGGAAGUAUUAACCCUUUGCAUGGCCUCCUGAGAAUCUGACAAGACGUAAAUAGCCAAGAAUAUCUGUGGAACUUAAUCAGUGAGUUACAAUAUUUAUCACUGCAAGUGUGUUGUUCAUUGACACUAUAAAGCCAUAUGGAAUUAAGCAGCCUUGAAACACAAAAUGGA